rnacentral:rRNA from 1 species
GAUGAACGCUGGCGGCGUGCCUAAUACAUGCAAGUCGAGCGAACAGAUAAGGAGCUUGCUCCUUUGACGUUAGCGGCGGACGGGUGAGUAACACGUGGGUAACCUACCUAUAAGACUGGGAUAACUUCGGGAAACCGGAGCUAAUACCGGAUAACAUUUGGAACCGCAUGGUUCUAAAGUGAAAGAUGGUUUUGCUAUCACUUAUAGAUGGACCCGCGCCGUAUUAGCUAGUUGGUAAGGUAACGGCUUACCAAGGCAACGAUACGUAGCCGACCUGAGAGGGUGAUCGGCCACACUGGAACUGAGACACGGUCCAGACUCCUACGGGAGGCAGCAGUAGGGAAUCUUCCGCAAUGGGCGAAAGCCUGACGGAGCAACGCCGCGUGAGUGAUGAAGGGUUUCGGCUCGUAAAACUCUGUUAUUAGGGAAGAACAAAUGUGUAAGUAACUGUGCACGUCUUGACGGUCCCUAAUCAGAAAGCCACGGCUAACUACGUG